rnacentral:rRNA from 1 species
UCUGCCCAUCAGACGGGGACAACGAUUGGAAACGAUCGCUAAUACCGGAUAGGACGAAAGUUUAAAGGUGCUUCUGGCACCGCUGAUGGAUGAGCCUGCGGCGCAUUAGCUAGUUGGUAGGGUAAAGGCCUACCAAGGCGACGAUGCGUAGCCGACCUGAGAGGGUGAACGGCCACACUGGGACUGAGACACGGCCCAGACUCCUACGGGAGGCAGCAGUAGGGAAUCUUCGGCAAUGGGCGAAAGCCUGACCGAGCAACGCCGCGUGAAUGAUGAAGGCCUUCGGGUUGUAAAAUUCUGUUAUAAGGGAAGAACGACUUUAGUAGGAAAUGGCUAGAGUGUGACGGUACCUUAUGAGAAAGCCACGGCUAACUACGUGCCAGCAGCCGCGGUAAUACGUAGGUGGCGAGCGUUAUCCGGAAUUAUUGGGCGUAAAGAGCGCGCAGGUGGUUGAUUAAGUCUGAUGUGAAAGCCCACGGCUUAACCGUGGAGGGUCAUUGGAAACUGGUCGACUUGAGUGCAGAAGAGGGAAGUGGAAUUCCAUGUGUAGCGGUGAAAUGCGUAAAGAUAUGGAGGAACACCAGUGGCGAAGGCGGCUUCCUGGUCUGUAACUGACACUGAGGCGCGAAAGCGUGGGGAGCAAACAGGAUUAAAUACCCUGGUAGUCCACGCCGUAAACGAUGAGUGCUA